GCCACCGCGCUUCCCGCCACGGCUUGCCCGCCCCACGCCUCGCGGCCGCCCGGACCCAAAAGGGGUGGGUCCGCAGAGAUUCACCGGCCAGGCCCACAACAAGUUCUGCCGCUUCCCGCGCCGGCCCCCAGCUGCGGUCUGGGCGCAGCGGGCAGAGGGCGGGCGGUAGUGGGCAAUGGGCGGCCGGGCCGCAGUGGGCAGAGGGGCGCAGCGGCCAAGCAGUCGUGGGCAGCAGGUGGCCAGGCGGCAGCGGGCAGUCCGGGCGCUCCAGGCUCGGCUCACACAGCUGGACUUUGCGCAAUUGCUGCGCUGGCAAAACUCGGGCGCCGCUUUCCUUAAACCCCUGCUUCCUCUCACAUGGGGAUUGAAUCCUCGGACUCUGUCCGAGCCUUGAGCAGUGCCACCUGCAGGUGACUCGCCACUAUCGCCGGCCGGUCCUUCUGGAGACUGACAAGAAUCAGGCUUGAAACAAUCGUUUCUCACGCGCCCACUCCGUGCCCGGCAUCAUGCUGGCGCAGGAAUACAAAGAAAGCAGAAGCGUUGGAUCCUCGCUCUGUGAAUGGUAAAGUGGGAAGGAACUGAGAAGUCAUCCAAUCCCACUCCUUUGGUUUCCAGACCAGGAAAGUGAGAUUCCGAAAACUUGUGAUUUGCUCAACAGAAUUGACAUUAGAACUCAGACUUUCACUGGACUCAACAAAAUCUAAACCUGAACUAGGCUAUAGAGUAUUACCACAUGCAAAGAGAAGAAGCUAGAAUUACAACCAAGAAGAAUUUGCCCAGCAAAUUUUCAAUAUUUAUUUAAUAAAAUAGAGGACUCUCAAAUGUUCUUGAUCAAAAGACUAGAGUUGAAUAGAAAAUUGGACAUUCAAGCACAAGGCUCUAAAGAAGCCUUUUUAAAAAGGCAUAUAAGAAAAAGAAAUCAUAAAACACUUAAAAGGUGAAAAUGUUUAUGUUCCUAUAUGGAAAAGAUGUCUCCUAAGAAUUUUAUCAUUAUUAGGACAGUUAGAAGUAGUCUGCUUAGAUAGAAGUUAUGGAUGUAAUGUGUUUAUAUUGGGAUAAUCUCCUAAAAAAUAAUUCAAAAGAGAGAGGGGCAGCUAGGUAGCACAGUGGAUAGAGCACCAGCCCUAAAACCAGCAGGACCUGAGUUCAAAUCUGAUCUCAGACACUUAAUCCUUCCUAGCUGUGUGACCUUGGGCAAGGCAAUUAACCCUAAUUACCUUAGCAAAGAAAAAAGAAUGCACUGGGGAGAAGGGGGAAGGGAGAGGGAAAAUGAGGGAAAUUAUCUCACAUAAAAAAGACAUGCAAAGAAGGGCUUUUACAAUGGAGAGGAAAAUGAAGGAGGUGGCAGGUAAUACUUAAAUCUCUUUCUCAUGAGAAUUGAUUCAAAGACUAUAUAUAUAGUCUUCCCUUAGUAUAUAUAUACUAAGUCACAUAUAGUAAUAAAUCAUAUCCCAUAGGAGGGAAAGAAAUAAGGAAAAUAAGGAUGAGGAAAAUGGUAAAAUGGAAGAUGGAUUAAGGGAGACUGUGGUCAAAAACAAAACAGACUUUUGAGGAAGAACCAAGUAAAAAGAAAGAUAAGCAGAAGACAAUAGAAUGGAGGGAAAUCCACAGUUAUUAUUACUGUGAAUGGGAAUGAGAUGAAUUCACCCAUAAAAUGGAAGCAGAUGCCUAAAUGUAUUAGGAUAGUAUUGUGCCUUGAGAAAUGAGGCAUUUAAUUUAUCAGGAUUUAGAAAAACCUGAGAUUUGUAGGAAUUGAUAUAGAGUGAAGUGAGUAAAUAGAACCAAAAAACAGUUUAUAUGAUCAUAUUUAAAAAACAACUUUCAAAGAAUUAAAAACUUCAAUCAAUUAACUAAUCAUGACUUCAGAAAACUAAUAAUAAAGUAUUAUUCCAAUUUUGGGAGAAAAUGCACAGACAUGCAUUUUUAGAUAUAGUCAAUGUGUUGAUUUACUUUGACUAUAGUUAUUUAUUCCAAAGGAAGGCUUCUGGGGGAGGAGAGAAAAUGAAUUGGUGCCCAAUCAUUGUUUCAGUCAAAGGGUCGAGGUCUCCCACUGCAUCCAGAGCCAUCUCAAGCCAAUCCUGAUCUGUAUCUGACCACUGGACCCAGAUGGAGUCUGGAGCAGAAAGUGAGGCAAUGGAUCUUGCACAGCCCUCCCUCACUUAGCAUCAUUCUCUGAUAUCACAGUGUUCUUCAAGAAAAAUGGGAAAAUAAGUGCCCAAUAAGCAUUUGAUGAAUUGAAUAUAGUCUUGAAAAAUAAGAGGAAAACUGAUUGGGAAAAACUACCAAGUUUUGCCUUAGUUUAUGCUUAAAGAAGCAAUUCAAGAAGAAAUAAAUAAAUGUGUUUAAAUUCCAUAUGCACAUUUCUUCAGGAAAUAUACAAAGUUGUAACCUCCAACUUCACCAAUACUAAGGCAGAGAGCAUCAAAACCCAUAUUCCCUGAGCCAUGUCAGCUUUUCUCUCCUCAGUAAGCCAGAGGUUUCUCACCUUACAAUAUUCUUUCACUGAAUGUCAUCAUUGAAGGAGGCAAACCAAGCAAAGGGCCCCAACUAAGAAAGAGGAAGAGGUUUAGACCAAUACAGCUUUUUAUAGUUAGCUCUUUUCCAGCUCCACAACUGCAGCCAGCCAGAGAAGUCACUGUUUACCACAUGAGGAGCAGACAAGAACCACCUACAGAGUGUCUAUGCAUGCUUCAGCCUUUCCAAGUCACUGCCAUUUGAUAUUAUUUCACGUUUCCUGAAAACAAGCUCUUCAGUCUAUCUGAGCAUGUCGAAAUCCUCUGCUCUGGACUGUAAGGAGUUUUAAACUUAGAAUAAGGUGAACAUUUGACAAAUGCUUUUUCAUUCACUCAUGCUACUCAUUUAUUCAUUAAUUCUAUAUAAGGACAUAUAAGCACAUGAAUUGAAAAACAAAAAACAUUUAAUUUAAAAUGAAUAAUGAGGUAAAUGGAAAUUAAUCAAAUCAGAUGUUUCCUGAAUCCAUACCGAAAUGAGAUUCUUCCUCACUCCUAGAGAAAUGCUAGCCAACUAAUUAUUUCACAUCCUCAGUAUAGUGAGAAUUAUUUCAACUAGCUUAUAGAGUUGCAGGAUAUAAAAUAAACCCACACAAAUGAUCAGCAUAUUGCCAGCAAAGUUCAGCAGGAAGAGAUAGAAAGAGAAAUCCCAUUUAAAAUAACUGUAGACAAUAUAAAAUACUUUAAAGUAUUUUUGCCAUCUGGCAAAACAAACCUGGGAACUUUUAUGAAUACAGUUAUAGUUUAUACAAUUUACUUUUCAUAUAAAUAAAAGUCAGAUCUAAACAACAGGGGAAAUAUUAAUUGCUCAUGGAUAAGAUGAACCAAUAAAGUAAAAGUAACUAUUUUACUCAAA